rnacentral:rRNA from 1 species
AAUCUUCGGCAAUGGACGGAAGUCUGACCGAGCAACGCCGCGUGAGUGAAGAAGGUUUUCGGAUCGUAAAACUCUGUUGUUAGAGAAGAACAAGGAUGAGAGUAGAAUGUUCAUCCCUUGACGGUAUCUAACCAGAAAGCCACGGCUAGCUACGUUCCAGCAGCCGCGGUAAUACGUAGGUGGCAAGCGUUGUCCGGAUUUAUUGGGCGUAAAGCGAGCGCAGGCGGUUCUUUAAGUCUGAUGUGAAAGCCCCCGGCUUAACCGGGGAGGGUCAUUGGAAACUGGAGAACUUGAGUGCAGAAGAGGAGAGUGGAAUUCCAUGUGUAGCGGUGAAAUGCGUAGAUAUAUGGAGGAACACCAGUGGCGAAGGCGACUCUCUGGUCUGUAACUGACGCUGAGGCUCGAAAGCGUGGGGAGCGAAC